GGGCCCGCACAAGCGGCGGAGCAUGUGGAUUAAUUCGAUGCAACGCGAAGAACCUUACCUGGGUUUGACAUGCACUGGACCGGCGUAGAGAUACGCCUUCCCUUGUGGCUGGUGCACAGGUGGUGCAUGGCUGUCGUCAGCUCGUGUCGUGAGAUGUUGGGUUAAGUCCCGCAACGAGCGCAACCCUUGUCCCAUGUUGCCAGCGGGUAAUGCCGGGGACUCGUGGGAGACUGCCGGGGUCAACUCGGAGGAAGGUGGGGACGACGUCAAGUCAUCAUGCCCCUUAUGCCCAGGGCUUCACACAUGCUACAAUGGCCAGUACAGAGGGUUGCGAGACCGUGAGGUGGAGCGAAUCCCUUAAAGCUGGUCUCAGUUCGGAUCGUAGUCUGCAACUCGACUACGUGAAGUCGGAGUCGCUAGUAAUCGCAGAUCAGCAACGCUGCGGUGAAUACGUUCCCGGGCCUU
rnacentral:rRNA from 1 species